GGCUUGAUGAUAAUAAUUUUAAGUCGAUCUGCCCAAUGAUUAAAAUUUAAUGGCUGCAGUAUAAUUGACUGUACAAAGGUAGCAUAAUCAAUUGUUUCUUAAUUAGAAUCUAGGAUGAAAGAAUUAAUGAGAUAUAUACUGUCUCAUAUAUAUAUAAUUAAAUUAAAAUUUUAGUAAAAAUGCUGAAAUAAAUUUAUGGGACGAUAAGACCCUAUAGAAUUUUAUAUUAAUAUUUAAAUUAAAUUUAUUUUUAGAUAUUAAUAUUUAAUUGGGAGGAUUAAUAAAUUUAAAUAACUUUAUUUUAAAUAAAAACUUUAAUUUAAGAAUUAUUAAUGAUCUUGUAUUAUAAAUUAAGAGAAAAAAUUACCUUAGGGAUAACAGCGUAAUAUCUUUUUAAAGAUCAAAUUGAUAAAGAUGAUUGCGACCUCGAUGUUGAAUUAAGAUAAAUUUUAAAUGGAGAAAUUUAAUAAUUAAGUCUGUUCGACUUUUAAAAUCUUACAUGAUUUGAGUUCAAAUCGACGUGAGU
rnacentral:rRNA from 1 species